AUUGAACGCUGGCGGCAGGCCUAACACAUGCAAGUCGAACGAGUGGCGGACGGGUGAGUAAUGUCUGGGAAACUGCCUGAUGGAGGGGGAUAACUACUGGAAACGGUAGAUAAUACCGCAUACCAUCAGAUGUGCCCAGAUGGGAUUCGCUGGUUGGUGGGGUAAAGGCUCACCAAGGCGACGAUCCCUAGCUGGUCUGAGAGGAUGACCAGCAACAUUGGAACUGAGACACGGUCCAGACUCGUACGGGAGGCAGAAGUGGGGAACAUUGCACAAUGGGCGCAAGCCUGAUGCAGACAUGCCGCGUGUAUGAAGAGGGCCUUCGGGUUGUAAAGUACGUUCAUCGGGGAGGCGUUACCCGAAGAAGAAGCACCGGCUAACUCCGUGCCAGCAGCCGCGGUAAUUC
rnacentral:rRNA from 1 species